ACGCCCGUAGCUCAACUGGAUAGAGCGAGCGGUUUCUAACCGCUAGGUUGGAGGUUCAAGUCCUCCCGGGCGUA
rnacentral:tRNA from 1 species